UGGAGCUGCCCACUAACCCGUCACCCCAUUAUUUUCUUUCCAAUUCAACCCACGCGACGGCAAGCGGUUGGGAUUGGGUGAGGCAGCAGCGAUGCGGCUGAGCGGCCGGCGGCGAUGCGGGUGAUUGGCCGGCGGCGAGCGGCGGAUGCGGGAUGCGCUGUGGGUGUCCUUCGGUCCGCUGUGUUCUGCCGACAAAUCGACGGCGACCGGCUGUAGGUGUGAUUGCGGCCGGCGGCCGGCGGUUGCAGGCAGGGUUGCUGCGAGCGGCUGCUGCUGGGGAUCUUAUCGGCUUCAGGCUUGGUGAGUGGCAGAUCCUCCUCUCCCCCUCCCACAGCAGCUCGGCCGUCUGUUCCUCCACGUUCCGCACGGCCGGCUAGCCGUCAACUUCGCCGCGCUACCAGGUCAUGCUGCCGCUGUCCUCGUCUCGUCCCCAUACCAUAACCAUACCAUCGUGGUGAGCUCUCUUCCAAUCUUCCACAUGUUUGGAUUUUUUUUUAACGUUUGGAUCUGAAUGUAUGAGCUGGCUCAUUUGCUAUCAGUCCCAGUCAUCUAUUUGGCUCACGUUCUUGUGAAUGCAAUACAUAUUAGUUUUUCAUUUAUUUCCUGUUCUUGAAGAUGGCAUAGGAGUGCAGAACCACCGUAAAGAUAGUCUGUCGACUGAAAACGGAAGCUUGAAUAAUUUUCGCUGCUGGUAUGAUGUGUUAUACUGUUAUUGGCCGAUUCACUGGUUAUGUGUUGUCCGUAUGAAAAUUGAUGGUAGUGUGAAUGAAAAAUGCAUGGAAGUUGGCUGAACCUGUUAGUUUAUUUGCUUCUAACUUUGAUCAUGUUCCCAGCCUUAAUAGAUUUGGCCUUACAGACCAAUAUAGAUACAGUAUGCCAAAUGUAUUUUAAAUCUGGGAAAAUUACUACAGAGGAUAUUCCGGUUGUUGGCCAUUGAGCUUGGAUGACAUUCUAAUUUUUGAAUGAUUUUUUGUUUGCUCACAUGAGGCCAUGCAUCAUGUACUUGUAUAUGGGGCCAUUCAGUCAUGCAUUAAACUAUGCAAUAAGUUAUUGUUGCAUUGGUUGUUCUUAUGUCUCGUUGCCACUAAGAACUACAUGGAAAUAAGUUAUUUAUGUUGGCACCGAGAAUUCUUACAUUGACAAUAAGUUAUACUACAAGCUCUGCAGAACUUUGGUUUAACCUGCCCUAUCACGAUAAAACAAAGCGAUUAACCUACACGAUCACGAGUUCAUGACAUAAAGUUAAUUCCCUCUUUUGCGUUUUGUCAUGAUAACACAUAUCAUUUAUCCAGCUGCUUGUGGUCUCGUAGUUGUAGAGGACUAUCCUUCAUGAGGUUAUGUUAAACAUGUCAGAAUUAUACUCAUGAUAGCCUGACGAUGAGUUAACUGUUAUUCCAACAAAAGACUGCAAAUUCUUUCUCUGACAAUGUCAUACCCACAUAUAUCUCUGAUGUUGGCCGUCUAGGGACCUAAAAUUUUCAGGUGGUCAUAUCAAUAGCCAAAAUGUGCCACCUUUCUGCAGCGUGCUGUUGUGUUUGACAAUAGGUGUAUUGCCUUCUUGAUUUCAUUAUUCUGUACACAUAAUCUUUUGGGACAGUGCACCUUAAAAUUCUUACAUUUUAUAUAUAUGUCUGAUGCAGUCGUUGUAAAGGUGCUUCUCUUACCUAUUAACUUGUUAACUACAGGGGUGAACAUAACUGUAUCAUCUGGCUUGAAAAUAAAUGGUUUGUUUGCAGAACACUCUGAACGAAAGAGCUAGAUGAUGUCUUCUAUAAGUGUGGACUUUCAAAGCAUGGAAAGAAGCAGGCUGACAGCGGGAACAUAGAGGCACCACCGGCGGCUCGUGUAGCAACAACUCCUCGUCGGACAGGUGCUGGAGCUCCCAUCCUCACCGGUUGGCGUCAGGCCACCAAUGGAAGAGGCACCUGGGCUAUUAUAGUUGACUCCAAUAGCACUGCCUACAUACCAGGCAUCAGCUCCCCGGACAAUUCUCUCCGGCACUGCUUCCCUGUGGACUACCUGGCUACUAUGACAAGGCACCAGAAGAAAUACAUCUUGGAAAAGACGAUGCGAUUCUAGUAAUUAUACGGAGGGAGGCAAGAGCUAGCGCGCAAAACACUGGUGUAAUUAUGUUGGUCAGGUGUUUCUUUCUGGGUUAGCUAAGCUUCGGGAGUCAGUGGUGAUUGAUGGGAAGUAAAUUGUAAUUGGUGGCUCUAAAAGCUCUCUUUUGGAAUAACAUAAAUCAGCGGGACCUUGGUGGACAUCAUGGUGUUUGCUCCGAAAUUCUUACGUUCCAAAACUGAUUCAGUUGCUUGAAUCCUCCAGAGAACAAUAGAACACGAUAUGUUUGCCAAAUA